rnacentral:lncRNA from 1 species
AGAGAGAGAGAGAGAAUUGGUGUAAAGGAGUGGAGGGCAUUUUAGGUACAUCGUAAAAGUAAAAUAACAGAUUUAACCUUAAAAGUAGACUUAUAUGAGUAAAACUGUUAUGGUGGACUUAUGUAGGAGAAAAUGUUCAGAAUGUGACUUAUAUGAAAUUUUCUAUAUAUAUUUUCGGAGAAGUGUUGUACACUAACAUGUUAAUCUUAUAUACCGCAACUAGAUAUUAUGACAAAGAUAUACAUCGAUUAUCCUCUAGUCUGCGUGAAUAACAAUUUACAAUGGAUACUCAAAAAUAUGCAUCAGAUAUUUCUCUUUGACAUCAAGUUACUUAACAUUGUCGGUCACACCCAAGACUGAUCGAAAAUCCGAUUAUUUGGUAGCUAGAUUAAUGGUCAACUUGCAAGAAGAUACUGGCUACUAAUCCUUUUCAACAAAAAAUUAUAUAUAUGCAAUCUGCAAGUACACUUGUUCUUUACAAAACCGCGCCCAAGCA